rnacentral:misc_RNA from 1 species
UCUCCGUAGGUGAACCUGCGGAGGGAUCAUUACAGAGUUCAAGCCCUACCGGGUAGAUCUCCCACCCUAUGUUAUUAUUACUUUGUUGCUUUGGCGGGCCGUUAGGCUCCGGCCCAACUACCGGCCCCGGCUGGUAAGCACCCGCCAGAGGAUCCAAAACCCUGAAUAUUAGUAUCGUAUGAAUACUAUAUAAUAGUUAAAACUUUCAACAACGGAUCUUUUGGUUCUG